AGGAAAAGAAACUAACCAGGAUUCCCCCAGUAACUGCGAGUGAACGGGGAUUAGCCCAGCACCGAAGCCUGUGGACGUUUGUCUGCUAGGCAAUGUGGUGUUUAGGUUGUCUCUUGGCAUUACUGCUCCACCCUAAGUCCAGUACUGAGUAUGGUUUCUGGAAUUGGCCCAAAGAGGGUGAAAGGCCCGUUGGGGUGGAGAUCAAUUGGGACAGUUUUGCCCUGAGUUAACCUUGGAGUCGGGUUGUUUGUGAAUGCAGCCCAAAGUGGGUGGUAAACUCCAUCCAAGGCUAAAUACUGGCACGAGUCCGAUAGCGAACAAGUACCGUGAGGGAAAGUUGAAAAGUACUUUGAAGAGAGAGUAAACAGUGCGUGAAACCGCUCAGAGGUAAACAGGUGGAGUUGAACUGUAAGCUGCGGGAAAUCAGCUGGUGUGUUUGGCAUGGGCUUGGACAUAUUGGUCAGCCUCCGGAGUCCGCUUAGCUGCGGGUUCCUGCUCUUCGGGGUGGGAAUGUGCGUUGCACUUAUCAAGUGUUGUGCGCUCCGGUGGUUGAUGGCCUGCUCGCCAGUGCACUUUCCCGUGGUGAUCACCACGACCGGCGCUGUGGCCUUUCUGCUGUAGACAAACCGUUCAGGUCUGGUCUUCGGACUGAAUCUGUCGGGAUGGCAGGUAGCUCGUUGGUUGGCUUGCCAGCCAAUUGGUGUAAUGAGCUGUUUGCAGUAGAUUUGUGCAAUGCGUCGGGGACGGCGGCUACUGGCAUGGGCGUGCGUGUCCUCUGCUGGCAGGGUCGGGUCUGAUCGACAUGUUACUCACCCAAGUGGGUCUGUCGGUGGCUCGGUUUUGUCCGGUGGGGGUUUGCGUGCGUGUUGCCGUUCAAGGGCCGAUAGUCUGUGGUGUUGUAGUAGACUAUCCACCUGACCCGUCUUGAAACACGGACCAAGGAGUUUAACAUGUGCGCGAGUCAUUGGGCGUUACGAAACCCAAAGGCGCAGUGAAAGUAAAGGAUCGGCUUGUCCGGUCUUAGGUGAGAUCCGGUCGUUCCUCGUGCAGAUAUUACCAAGCAUUCGGACGGCAGGCGCAUCACCGGCCCGUCUCACGGCGUAGUCAUGUGACCUUGAGUUGCGUGCACCACCGGGGCGGAGCAAGAGCGCACACGUUGAGACCCGAAAGAUGGUGAACUAUGCUUGCGGAGGUUGAAGCCAGAGGAAACUCUGGUGGAGGACCGCAGCGAUUCUGACGUGCAAAUCGAUCGUCUAACGUGAGUAUAGGGGCGAAAGA
rnacentral:rRNA from 1 species